rfam:TPA: Bos taurus chromosome 4, whole genome shotgun sequence.
UCCCUGGUGGCUCAGCUGGUAAAGAAUCUGCCUGCAAUGCAGGAGACCUGGGUUUGAUUCCUGGGUUGGGAA